GGCAGAAUCACUUCAAAUAAUGUUCUAAUAAUUAUAAUAAUACAUUAAACUUAUAUAGCAUUUUUCUGGGACCCAAAGACACUUUAUAUCAGGUACAAAACAAACAACAUCCGAGGAGAGCAAUUGGACAUUGCACAGACAAAUGUAAAGAAAAGGAUUCAGGCAUGACACUUGAUGAAGGGAAUGGGCAGGGGCUAGGGGUAGGCUUGUUUGAACAGAUGAGGCUUGAGGUGGUGGAUGAAGAUGGUAACAGAUUCAGAGUCACAGAUGGAUUGUGGAAGUGAGUCACAAAACCUUGGAGCAGCCCUAGAGAAACUGUCUCUGUGUAUGGUUGGUGAGGUAUGAGUGUCAUUGGAGGAGAUGUAGUGGGUCUGGUUGGUGAGGUAUGAGUGUCAUUGAGGGACAUGUAGUGGGUAUGGUUGGUGAGGUAUGAGUGUCAUUGAGGGACAUGUAGUGGGUCUGGUUGGUGAGGUAUGAGUGUCACUGAGGGAGAAGUAAUGGGUACGGUUGGUGAGGUAUGAGUGUAGCCAGGAAAAUGUGGUUCCCUCAAAACCCAGAGCCUCCGGCCUGGUGAUGAGGAUCACAUGACUAACUGUGUCAAACACAGCAUUCAGGUCCAGGAGGAUAAGGAUGUUGAGGGCACCAGCAUCAGCACAGAUAACCUUGAGGAGGGCAUUUUCAGUACUGUGGAGUGGUCGGGAACCCAGACUGAAGAGGCUCAAGUAAACUGUUAUUGAGGAGGUGACAUUGCAGUUGGGAGGCAACAGUCCUUUCCAGGGUUUUCACAAGGAAGGGAAGGUUGGAGAUGGGGCAGAAGAUAUGAAAAUUGGUGGGGUCCAGACCAGGUUUCUUUAAGAUGUGUGUGACUGCAGCAGUUCUGUAGUUAGAGGGGACAGUGCCAUAGGAGAGAGAUUCACUAUUUGAGUGAUGUAUGGACACACAGCAGGAAGGAAAGCCUUGAUGAGAGUCGCAGGAAGGGGAUCCAAGGAGCAGGUAGUUGUUUUAGACCAUGCAAUAAGAUGUGUAUUUCUUACUGUGGGGUAGGAGACAUUUGUGGAUCAUAGAGUCUGGGAGUUUGUGUUGGAGGUUGUGAUGGUAUUGUGAGGUUCUGGCAAGAUGAAGAGCAUCUCUAUAAAUGGAGAGAUUAAGCUUAUAGGCAGAGGAGUGUUGAACUGAAUACCUAAAUCUUCAGGCGUAUUGGAGGCAUGGUUCAGGGGAAGGGCAGAGCAGAUUGCAUCAGAGAGUUUCAGGGGAUCGACAGCUUUUAUAUUGCGAAAAGAGCAG
ensembl:lncRNA